UGGGGAAUAUUGGACAAUGGGGGGCAACCCGUCGNUCCAGCCAUGCCGCGUGAGUGAUGAAGGGCCUUCGGGUUGUAAAGCUCUUUUGGCGGGGACGAUGAUGACGGUACCCGCAGAAUAAGCCCCGGCUAACUUCGUGCCAGCAGCCGCGGUAAGACGAAGGGGGCUAGCGUUGUUCGGAAUUACUGGGCGUAAAGCGAGUGUAGGCGGUGCCGUAGUCAGGUGUGAAAGCCUUGAGCUCAACUCAAGAAAUGCACUUGAUACUGGGUGACUAGAGGACCGGAGAGGAUAGUGGAAUUCCCAGUGUAGUGGUGAAAUACGUAGAGAUUGGGAAGAACACCAGUGGCGAAGGCGGCUAUCUGGACGGUUACUGACGCUAAGACUCGAAAGCGUGGGGAGCAAACAGGAUUAGAGUACCCUAGGUAGUCCACGCCGUAACGAUGGGUGCUAGACGAUUGGCGAGCUUGCUCGUCAGUGUCGCAGCUAACGCGUUAAGCA
rnacentral:rRNA from 1 species